GCGCCGGUGGUGCGACCGGCGUCGGCCCGGCGGCGUCGAUGGUCGGCGACCAGGGCGCGGUGUUCCAGCCACCACCGGUGCCC
rnacentral:tRNA from 1 species